GUGGCUGAACAUCCCCGGGAAACACUGCUCCCCUGCCCAACUCAGGCACUGUUUCAGACUUCACAUCCUCAGGGUGCUGAACAGAGGGCUGGGCCUGGAGCCACACACCCUGUCAGGCUGUCUCUCAGCUCACUCUGUGGCCUUGGGCAGAUGGCUUUGCGUCCUGGAGCCUCAAGACUGAUGUCCUGGACACCAGACAUGGACAGCAUUUUAUGUCAGUCACCUCAUUAGUUCAACACUCUGACCCUGUGGGAGGUGUCAUGAGUCACUCCCAGAGCCCCAUCCCAUGGCCCCUGCUCGGGACCACGAAUGAAGACCCUGCUUUGGAGCAUCAAGGACUCUGCAAAGGAACAACAGGAGCCUGUGGGCAGGCAGAUAUCCUGGGAGUACAGGCAUUUGGAGCUGAGUCUGGGGAAGCUUCUUGCCAGCUAAUUCUCUCAGGCUGAGCCCUUCAAGGAAGGAAGGAGGCGGUACAGACUGAAGGUCCCUCAUGGCAGAGGAGGAGGGAAAGAGCUGUGGGGAACACGUCCACAUUUAGUCAUCUGGUCAUCAUUCAAGAAAUGAUUCCUGAGAGCCUGCUAUGUCCUCAGUGCUGGCCUUCCUCCUGGUAUGCCUAUCAUGGGUGGACAGGCAGCCCUGAGAUAGAAUUUUACCUGCUCAGCCCUCCUAGCAAGUCCUGACACCCUUUCCCUCAUCCCUCCCACUCAGGCAGUGAGAGCCUGAGAGCACUAAGAGCAGCCCA